AGAUGGUAAACUGGAGGGGAUUUUUUCAGCUGAAAAGAAACAUUCUUCCCCUCCCUUCUCCUUUGUAGGACUGUUCUUCAGCUGGAGUAUUUUCCUGUAUAGUUGAUUAUGGACUCCGCAACACCUGCUCCAGAAGAAAGUUCUGGAGAAAGAGUCAGGGAAAGACAGGAUUGUGUCCUCUGGCAGCUCUGACCACUGAAGGUUUUCAGCCAGGCAGAACCUCAGGGCUGAUUUCUUGGCAGCAACAGGGAUGUGGGUGGACGAACGUAACCUUUUCCAGAAUUUCAGCCUUGAUAUUCUCUGGAGAAGAUCAAGUGCUACCUAGUCCUUCUCGGGGUUAAAUGGGUUAGGAUGGCCUAAGCUGCCUUUACAGUAGUUUCAGUGACUCCAGGUUACUGAAGCGGAGGAGCGCUUGUAUGGUCUGUGCUGUUAACUCUCCCAACAAGGGAGUGGUGAGUUGUUACACUGCUCAGACCACAUUCAUAAGGUCUUUGAACAUGCUCAUCGUUAAUAACCCUUCAUUAAUUUUUUUUAAAAACAUCUUUCUCCUCAGCGUAUCAGUUCUUUCUUUUAUUAAGGAUUUUGUUUGCCACCACGGUUUCUGUUUACCUAGUCUUUUUUACAUACCACUAAUGCUUGAGCGAAUGAUUGUGCUUUUCUUCAGGGUCUUCUCUGGUAUUGUAUUAAUACUGGUAGAACUGAGUAUCUCUGAGUUCCCUCCCAUAUGAUUAAAAUACUGUCUUAGAUAAAAUGCAUUGAAAACUCUGAUGUGGCAUGUGUGUUGCAGAUUUUUUUUGUUGGUAUUAGAACAAGCAGAUAAGGUUCUGACAGUAGCUGUGCAAAAAGGAAAAAAAAAGGACAGAAAAAAAGUCUUACCUAUAACGUAUUUCUUAAUACGGUAGCUGCUUGCUUUCUUGUUGAAUUAAGGGUUUUCACUGGCUACUGUUUUUGACAGUGAAAAGGAAGAACUGAGGAGAAAAACUAUGAAAGUAUUGGUUAUUGGCCUUGGAGGAUUGAGAAGACAACAUAUAAUGGUCUCAUUUUAUGGCACGGAACAGUCAAGAAAUUGUUCUGUGUCUGUUGGAGAGCUCUGGUACCAUCUCUAACCUCUUUCUUGGCAUUGCUAGUCACUGUCUGAAAGCUGUUGAAAUCUGCCAGGAAAUUUUCUGGAGUGUGACAAAUGGGGGGAAAACAACGCUGUCGGAAAAGCUUAAGAAAAUGUUUCCCAACUGUGACGUAAUCUCUCAGGAUGACUUCUUUAAGCCAGAGUCUGAAGUAGAAACAGAUGAACGUGGAUUUAAGCUGUAUGAUGUACUUGAUGCCCUCUAUAUGGAUGAAAUGGUGAAAAGUAUUCGGAAUUGGAUGAAAAGUCCAGCAAGCUCAGGUGUUGUGACAGAAGGGCCACAGAAUACAUGUGACAAUCUGAAAAAUACAGAUGACGUUUAUAUUUUGAUUGUUGAAGGCUUUCUGCUAUACAAUUAUGAGCCACUUAAUGAACUAUGGAAUAGAAGAUAUUUUUUGACCCUUCCUUAUGAGGAGUGCAAAAGGAGAAGGAGGUUCUUAGUUUCUCACUAGACUCACCUUUAAAGGACUUUAGUGUCCAGACUGGAAAUGACUAGACAAAACAGCUAUUCACUUAAAGUUUGAGAAAUCUGUAUACCCAAUAAAAAAAAGAAAGCUAAUUUGUUUUGGUAACUCUUUAAAUACACCUGUCCUGGUUUCGGCUGGAAUAGAGUUAAUUUUCUUGGUGGCUAGUGCAGUGCUGUGUUUUGGAUUUGGUGUGGGAACAAUGUGAGCAGGGACUUUUCAUUUCUCCUUUCUCAGGCCUUGCUGGUGGGAGGGCUGGAAGGGGCAGGGGGCACUGGGAGGGGACACAGCCAGGACAGCUGACCCAAACUAGCCAAAGUGGCGUUCCAUACCAUCGAGCCAUGCUCGGGUGCCCAGGGCUGCUGGUAAUUGCUGCAGAACUGGCUGGGCAUUGGUCAGCGGGUGGUGAGUGGUUGUAUUGUGCAUCACUUGUUUUCUGUUUGGAUUUCAUUCCUCUCCCCUUCUCCCUCCUUUUCAUUGUAACUGUUACUAUUAUUGUUGUUCUUUAGGUUUUAUCUCAAUUGUUAAACUGUUCUUAUCUGAGCCCUCGAGUUUUACAUCCUUUUCUGAUUCCCCUCCCCACCCCCAUGGGUGAGGGAGGAGUGAGCAUGCAGCUGCAUGGUACUUAAUUACCGGCUGGGGUUAAACCACAACACCACCUUAAUUUAUAUAAUUUUUUAAAAAGAAACUUUUACCUUAUCUUAAACGUCAUUUGAUUGGCGGAAAUAAGUUAGCUAGAGUUCGUAUCAUAGUUUAUAUUAAAAAAAAGGAUCCUCCUUUGCCCCAACAGUUAGGCAGCCUGCCAGUCUUUCUUUCUUUAUUUUGGAUAGAUGCUGUUAUUAAAUCAGCUGACGGUAGGGGAAAAUGUAAAACUUGUAUGGGAAAGCAAACGUAUUUUUGUAUAGCACCAGAGUCUAUCAGCCAGCAGAUACACUGGGGUACUUCGAUGGACACGUGUGGCCUAUGUAUCUGAAAUAUAAAAAUGAAUUGGAAGAGAAUGCAAGUAACAUUGGUAUGGUAUCCUUAAUUUUAAACUUACAAAAUGCUUAAUGUGACACUUAAUGCAGUUUUUGUUGGGUUGUGGUUUUUUUAAUGGGACAAAGUUUUCUUCAGUGUUUUUUGUGGCACUUGAACAAUAGGUUUGGGGCUUUUGUUGGUUUGUUUUUCAAGUGUAUAGGGUUUUUGAUUUUUCAAUGAAAAUUAUGAAGUUAAAAAAGAGAAAUAUUCUGAUCACUAAGUCCCUUUAACAAGCUAGUUUGUAUGUGCAUGUGUGCAUACAUGUGUAUGGCUAAAUAAGGAGCUUCUGGGGCAAUACAGAACAGAAUUGAAAUAACAGAAUUUAAAUCCUUAUUGAAAUCCUAUGAUCUGAAGAUAAUUCCUAGGGGCUGACUGUGCACACCACAGUCACCGGUCCUAUGUGAGAAGUGCCAAAGCCGGGCCAGCUGAUGGGGCACUGCCAUGCGCUUGUGUGAUGUUCACACUUUUACAGCUCUUGGACUUACCACCUCUGGAGUGGUGGCCAGAGGAAAGAGAAGUCAGGUGGCUGCUUCAUCAGCAUACCACUUCUUACUGUGCAGUGAGAAUGGAACCACAGUGCCCCUUCAUGACUUUCUCAGACCCUGAAGCUGAGGAAGAACCUGAGCUCUUCCACUGCGUAGGAACCUUUCUGCUGAAUUAAGCCAUUGCUCUGCAGUCCUAAUGUUAUUACCACUGUCCUUAUGGAAACUUUUAUACCACAAAACCCUGUAAAUUAGUUCUCAACUAGAAUACUUUUAUGUUAUUUUUUAAUAUGUAAAAUGAAGUUGGGAAAGAAUAAAAGGGAGGUAUUGGUCUUGUGUUUUAUUUUUUCGUAUCUUCUGAUGGCUCCUGUAGAAAUACUGAAAAUUUUGCCAGUUGCUAUUACAGGUAACUGGCAUAGAACUCAUGAAACUUCUUGUUUAAUCUUUCUUAGUUUACUUGGAUGGAACCAGAUCCCAAGAGGAGCUUCUGUCCUAUGUGUAUAGUGAUAUAAUACAGGAAUUAAAAAAGCUGAGGGAAGGAAAUCAGCAGUUCGCAGCAUGAUAAUGUAGAAAGCCUUUGGUACAAACUGAAAACCCCAGGACUGUCAUACUUGGCAAGCCAACCAACUGAGCAGCUGUUAUGUGUAUGUCCAUAAUACCAGUUCAUGGAACACAAGUAGAUUAGUAGUGACUAUUAACUGUGUAAGCCUCAGAUAUUGCUGAGUAGUAUUGCUAGUCCAUUAUUCUUUAGAAUUCCUUUAACCAGUCAUGCUUUGGCUGAUCUUUAAAUCUGAUUGAGUGUGUACAUUUUAAAGAAUAUAAACAUAUUUUUGUGUACAAAACUAUAAAGAUGCAGUUCUGUUGGUUUAAUAAGCAUAUUUGAACAUGGAUGAAUGCAAUUUGAAAUGUUCCUAUAGAAAUGACAGUAAUUAUCUCUAAUAAUGAGCUUCUAAUCACUGAUAAACAUGUCUAGAGGAACUAGCUAUGUGCUGUGGCAAUAGUAAUUUCAAGAUUGUAUAAGCUGUUAACGUUGCUUAUUCAGUAACUGAAGCUGUUAAUGAAUACAUCAUAACUGAACUUAGACUUGCUAAAGACCUCUGUGGUGUUUGACAAGUAACUUUUAUGUUGUGCAUUGGUUGAAGCAGUUGGGAAUGGCUGUCUAAAAAAACCCAACAAACAAACCUGAGGAGAAGUCAGGUUGUUGGAAAAAGAUGUAGAAGAGAAUGUAGAUGCAUCAGUAACAAGAUUAAGUGCACAUAUUGUGCAGAGAUCAAGGAUUGGGAUAGCACAGACUACUAGGCAAUAAAUGCAUGCUUCAGGGAGGAGGAAGGAAGAAAUAAUUCUUAUGGGUAUUCAUAGUUUAGAUUGAAAUUAUAGUAAUGGAAGUGUUAAGAAAGCAGGUAUGCUAAAUGUAUGUUAAAGCUUUGUCACAGGGUUUGUGUACGGAUAUUUAGAUAUAGGAAACUGGCAAGUUGAAUCAUAUUUUGUUGCUGAAUAAGGAAUGUAUUAACUCUUACAUUUUCUAUGCAGUGUCUUACAUUUUCAUCAGCCAGAACAAAAGUCAAGCUAGAGCCAAGUAAAGGAUGCACUAUAUUACCGUGUGUCAGCUGAUCACAGGGACUGAAGUGUAAUGCUUUAUUGUUAACAGUAUUAAGAGUCUUAAACCUGUAAGAAAAAGGUCUUAAUGAGAUUAAAACUGUGUUUAAGACAAAGUGCUUCCAAAUGCUAUUUUGUAUUACUACUUUGCAAUAAAAACUGCAAAAAAAAAUGCAUUCAUAUCACAUUUGCUGAAAUGCAGUGAUGAACUGUCUGACCUUGAA